UACAGAGGUCUCGAGCGGUGUUCGGAUUUAUUGGGCGUAAAGAGUGUGUAGGCGGCUUGGUAGGUCCGCUGUGAAAACUCGAGGCUCAACCUCGAGAUGUCGGCGGAAACCACUUGGCUAGAGUCCGGAAGAGGAGAGUGGAAUUCCUGGUGUAGCGGUGAAAUGCGCAGAUAUCAGGAAGAACACCUAUGGCGAAGGCAGCUCUCUGGGACGGUACUGACGCUGAGGAGCGAAAGCGUGGGGAGCGAACAGG
rnacentral:rRNA from 1 species